rnacentral:SRP_RNA from 1 species
UAAUAGUACUUGGCACAGCAGUCAUGUUCUAACCUGGUCAGGUCCGGAAGGAAGCAGCCAUACGAUCCUCUGACCGCGUGUGCCAUUUUUUUGUAUAUG